GCCACUAUAUAAAUCUCUACCCAAUCACUCGCGGGAAAUUUUUGGCCAAUCCAGUUGUAGAGAAAACUAUUUUCAGCGCCAAUGCGUUGUUCUCCGAUCCGAUAGCUUCCACUUCACGCGCAGUUUCGUUUCCUUUUGAAACGAACAUCUCCCCCCCUCUGCCAUUCUCUCUCGCGAUGAAUUUUGGAGUUUCCACUUCCAUGAACUUUGCAAUCUCCACUCCAUCGCUUCACCUCUCUUUCGAGUUUCGAGUCCGACGUUGCGAUCUCACUCGAGCUCAUAGAAGCCGGAAUGCGUAUUCCACGAGCUUAUUUUUUCAGUUCCCGCCGGAUUGGGAGAAGGAUCGUCACUGUCAACGCAGACCAGUCUUCUUCUAGAGCCACGGAUGACGGUUUCAGCAUCGAAGUGUCCCUCCGUUAACCUCUUGGGAUUCUGACCACAGAUAAAGAUUACUUCCCAAUCUAAACUUAAUCAGGGAGGAUACAGAAGGUUUUACUCAAAGAAUACAUGAAAUUGACACCUAAAGUUGUCAACGAUAUCCUCUAACAUGUUGGGUACUUUUCUUCGUACUUCACUAGGAGGCCAUGAUACAAAUAAGACUGUUGAUAAUUUUCAGGAUCGUGGAAUGAAUCAGGUACAUGUAAAAAGCUAGUUGACUACUUCAGAGAAGAAGCGAGAGCAACAAAAAAUAAAAUAAUGCAAUAAAAGAAGGGGGGAAAAAAAAGAAGAAGAAGAAGAAGGAAAAAUAAGGGAAUGCUUCAGAAAAAUUAAUGUCUUCCUAUGGUCUCGGCGUAUAUCAUUGGCGGCGAUGGUACUCAAAGAAGAGCAGCUUUAAUUUAUCAGGGAGUUGCAAAACGAGGUCUUCAAGUUUCUGUAGCUGGGAUCCCCAAGACGAUUGAUAAUGCAAUUGCUGGCAGCUGCGGGAGUGAAGGAAAUGGACAAUUCUGGGCCAAUGGAAGAGACUCGACUUGACCUUCAUGUGGAGAGAGAAUGUUCAAGUGCUCCUGGGGAAGCAAUGGAAGGUUAGUAAAAGUAUGAUAUUUUUUUAGUGAAGUCUACAUAUAAAUCAUGAACUCUUCAGAUCUUUUUAAGUUGCGAGUAUUAUAUUAGUGUAGAGAUAGAGCUGGAAAGGUAGAAUUAUAUGAACAAGUGAUAGUCAUGUCUAGAUAAUUUUAAAAUCAUUCAAAAUCACGUUUUUAAUCAUUUAAAAUUAUUUUUAAAUUAUUUUGAUUGCAUGGGAAGUAGUUAGAGAGUGAUUUUGACUUUUGAAAAAAAAAGUGCUUUUUAAAAAUUUUAAAAUAACUCCCACGAGAGAUUUAUAGAGAUCAGUGGGGAAUUUUGCUCCAUUUUUAUUUAAUAUAUACUUUUUAAAAAAUUUUCAUUUCAAAUAAUCUUUAUAAUGAAA